GACGAACGCUGGCGGCGUGCUUAACACAUGCAAGUCGAACGGAAAGGCCCGGCUUUUGUGGGGUGCUCGAGUGGCGAACGGGUGAGUAACACGUGAGUAAGCUGCCCUUGACUUUGGGAUAACUUAAGAAAACUGGGGCUAAUACCGGAUAGGAGCUCUUGCUGCAUGGUGGGGGUUGGAUGGUUUGGGCGGUUGGGGGUGGACUCGCGGCUUAUCGGCUUGUUGGUGGGGUAGUGGCUUAGCAAGGCAUUGACGGGUGGCCGGCCUGAGAGGGUGACCGGACAAAGUGGGCUGGGAAUGCGGCCCAGCCGCCACCGGUAGGGGACAGUGCGGAAUGUGGCACAAUGGGAUGAAGCCUGGCCUGGUACCGCCGCGUGGGGGAUGAGGUGAAUGCGUUUGUAAUCCACUUCCGCUUGUGCCGGAGCGUGAGUGACGGUAACGGGUAAAGAAGCACCGGCUAACUACGUG
rnacentral:rRNA from 1 species